rnacentral:misc_RNA from 1 species
UACGGAGAGUGCAAGCGUUGUUCGGAAUCAUUGGGCGUAAAGGGCGUCUAGGUGGCCCGCCAAGUCAGAUGUGAAAUCCCUCGGCUCAACCGAGGAACUGCAUUUGAAACUGGCGAGCUCGAGUGUCGGAGGGGGCAGCGGAAUUCCCGGUGUAGGGGUGAAAUCCGUAGAUAUCGGGAGGAACACCAGUGGCGAAGGCGGCUGCCUGGCCGAACACUGACACUAAAGCGCGAAAGCGUGGGGAGCAAACAGG